CUCAGCAGAAGUGUCAACUUGUAGAUUUAGACAACUGGAAACUACAAGGACAUAAUCAAAAACAGAAAACCGUGGUUCCCAGGAAGUGCCACUCUGUCUCACCAAGAGACAUUUGAAAAUGACUACGAACGCUGAAGAAUCUUCAGGAGAUGGAGAAUCGUAAGACACCAAUGAGAUGAAAUGAAGAGUUUGCCUAAGUCUCAACAAUAUCUCAAACUAUGGAAUUGUAGGAUGAAUGUCUGAGACAUUUAAG